rnacentral:rRNA from 1 species
CUCCUACGGGAGGCAGCAGUGAGGAAUAGGGGUCAACGGGCGGAAGCCUGAACCAGCCAUGCCGCGUGCGGGAUGAAGGCCAUACGGGUUGUAAACCGCUUUUCCCCGGGAAGAAUAACCCCGACGCGUCGGGGGAUGCCGGUACCGGGGGAAUAAGGAUCGGCUAACUCCGUGCCAGCAGCCGCGGUAAUACGGAGGAUCCGAGCGUUAUCCGGAUUUACUGGGUUUAAAGGGUGGGUAGGCGGCCCUGCAAGUCAGCGGAGAAAUGUGGCGGCAUCACCGCGUUUCGCUGCCGGAUGAUACUGUGGGGCUUGGAUACGGUCGAGGCGGGAGGAAUUCGUGGGGUAGCGGUGAAAUGCAUAGAUAUCAGGAGGAACGCCGAUAGGGAAGGCAGCUCGCCGGGCCGCGAUGGACGCUGAGGCAAGAAAGCGGGGGGAUCAAACAGGAUUAGAUACCUUGUUCGUCCACGCCGUAAACGAAAAUGGGUGGGUGUGCGCCCGCGCGGGCGCGUGCGUGAGGGAAACCAUUAAGCCAUCCACCUGGGGAGUACGGCCGCAAGGCUGAAAUUCAAAGGAAUUGACGGGGGCCCGCACAAGCGGAGGAACAUGUGGUUUAAUUGGAUGAUACGCGAGGACCCUUACUUGGGCUCGAAUGCUUCGGGAAUCACGCAGAAAGGCGUGAGCCGGCAACGGCCGGGAGCGAGGUGCUGCACGGUUGUCGUCAGAUCGUGCCGUGAGGGGUCGGGUUAAGUCUCAUAACGAGCGCAACCCCUACCUCCAGUUGCCAGCGGGUGAAGCCGGGGACUCUGGCGGGACUGCCGGCGUAAGCCGAGAGGAAGGCGGGGAUGACGUCAAAUCAGCACGGCCCUUACGUCCAGGGCUACACACGUGUUACAAUGGCCGGUACAGAGGGAGGCGACCCCGCGAGGGGGAGCGGAUCCCGAAAGCCGGUCGUAGUUUGGAUCGGGGUUUGGAACCUGACCCCGUGAAGCUGGAUUUGGUAGUAAUUGCGCAUCAGCCAUGGCGCGGUGAAUACGUUCCCGGGCCUUGUACACACCGCCCGUCAAG